GUCAGCUCGUGUCGUGAGAUGUUGGGUUAAGUCCCGCAACGAGCGCAACCCCUAUUGUUAGUUGCCAUCAUUCAGUUGGGCACUCUAGCGAGACUGCCGGUAAUAAACCGGAGGAAGUGGGGAUGACGUCAAAUCAUCAUGCCCCUUAUGACCUGGGCUACACACGUGCUACAAUGGUUGGUACAACGAGUUGCGAGUCGGUGACGGCGAGCUAAUCUCUUAAAGCCAAUCUCAGUUCGGAUUGUAGGCUGCAACUCGCCUACAUGAAGUCGGAAUCGCUAGUAAUCGCGGAUCAGCACGCCGCGGUGAAUACGUUCCCGGGCCUU
rnacentral:rRNA from 1 species